rnacentral:lncRNA from 1 species
GGAUCAUUUAAGACAGAUAGAUAUAUGCUCCCUUCCAUUCAGGGAAAGUCAUUUGGAUAAGGUGCUUUUUGGAGGCUUUUUUGAUGAAAAUGUGAAGAGAGCAGGGAAUGGGGAAUUGUUAUUUAAUGGAGUGAGUUACAGUUUGAGAAAAUGAAAAAGUUCUGAAGGAAGGCGACACACUCCCUCUGCAUUUUCUCAUUGUGCCGUUAUCAUCUUACCUGGGUCUAUCAGCUGGUGCCUGGGCAAGCAACAGAUGGUAUAUUCAAAUAGAGUAAUUGAAGAGAGUUUAAUGAAGUUAAUAUUUUCUAAGGUAUGGGCAGAGUUAGGAGAACCAAUGGAAGAGUGAAGAACCAGAGACUAGCAAUGCUGGAAUCAAUUAUUGUUCCUAGACUCUGACGUUACUAGAAGACAAAGAGAGCUUUAGCUAUAGGAGAGAGACAACCAACAGACUAGAAAAAUGAACUAAAGAACUUCAGAACAUAGAGUCCCUGAACAGUUUGGUUAUGCUACCAUGAUUCAGCUUCAAAAGAGCGUCCAAAACAGAAUCCUACCUG